rnacentral:rRNA from 1 species
AAAAAGCUUCAAACUGGGAUUAGAUACCCCACUAUGCCUAGCCAUAAACAUUGAUAGUUAACUACACCCACUAUCCGCCCGGGGACUACGAGCACCAGCUUGAAACCCAAAGGACUUGGCGGUGCUUUAGAUCCACCUAGAGGAGCCUGUUCUAGAACCGAUUACCCCCGUUCAACCUCACCUUUCCUUGUUUAUCCCGCCUAUAUACCACCGUCGUCAGCUUACCCUGUGAAGGACUAAUAGUAAGCAAGAUUGGCACAGCCCAAAACGUCAGGUCGAGGUGUAGCGUAUGGAAAGGGAAGAAAUGGGCUACAUUCACUAGUAAAGUGAAACACGAACGAUACACUGAAAUACGUAUCUGAAGGAGGAUUUAGCAGUAAGCAGAAAAUAGAGCGUUCCGCUGAAACUGGCCCUGAAGCGCGCACACACCGCCCGUCACCCUCUGCAGUCA